rnacentral:piRNA from 1 species
UGGACCUGGACUUGUGACGCUGAUGGAU